rfam:Colius striatus contig80950, whole genome shotgun sequence.
AAUGAAUGAUGACAAAAUGUUUCGGUCCCAGAUGACACAGAGUGAUUCCACUUUUCCAUUUUCUGACAUU